rnacentral:rRNA from 1 species
GGGAUCUUCGGACCUUUCGGUUGAGGGAGAGUCUAUGGGAUAUCAGCUUGUUGGUGGGGUAAUGGCCUACCAAGGCUUUGACGUCUAGGCGGAUUGAGAGAUUGACCGCCAACACUGGGACUGAGACACUGCCCAGACUUCUACGGAAGGCUGCAGUCGAGAAUCUUUCGCAAUGGACGAAAGUCUGACGAAGCGACGCCGCGUGUGUGAUGAAGGCUCUAGGGUUGUAAAGCACUUUCGCUUGGGAAUAAGAGAGAUUGGCUAAUAUCCAAUCGAUUUGAGCGUACCAGGUAAAGAAGCACCGGCUAACUCCGUGCCAGCAGCUGCGGUAAUACGGAGGGUGCUAGCGUUAAUCGGAUUUAUUGGGCGUAAAGGGCGUGUAGGCGGAAAGGAAAGUUAGAUGUUAAAUCUUGGGGCUCAACCCCAGGCCAGCAUCUAAUACUAUCUUUCUAGAGGGUGGAUGGAGAAAAGGGAAUUCCACGUGUAGCGGUGAAAUGCGUAGAUAUGUGGAAGAACACCAGUGGCGAAGGCGCUUUUCUAAUUUAUACCUGACGCUAAGGCGCGAAAGCAAGGGGAGCAAACAGGAUUAGAUACCCUGGUAGUCCUUGCCGUAAACGAUGCAUACUUGAUGUGGAUAGUCUCAACCCUAUCCGUGUCGUAGCUAACGCGUUAAGUAUGCCGCCUGAGGAGUACACUC